AUUGAACGCUGGCGGCAUGCCUUACACAUGCAAGUCGAACGCCCCGCAAGGGGAGUGGCAGACGGGUGAGUAACACGUGGGAACGUACCCUUUGGUUCGGAAUAACUUGGGGAAACUCAAGCUAAUACCGGAUAAGCCCUUAUGGGGAAAGGUCUACUGCCGAAGGAUCGGCCCGCGUCUGAUUAGCUAGUUGGUGAGGUAAUGGCUCACCAAGGCGACGAUCAGUAGCUGGUCUGAGAGGAUGAUCAGCCACACUGGGACUGAGACACGGCCCAGACUCCUACGGGAGGCAGCAGUGGGGAAUAUUGGACAAUGGGGGCAACCCUGAUCCAGCCAUGCCGCGUGAGUGAUGAAGGCCUUAGGGUUGUAAAGCUCUUUUACCCGGGACGAUAAUGACUGUACCGGGAGAAUAAGCCCCGGCUAACUUCGUGCCAGCCGCCGCCGUAA
rnacentral:rRNA from 1 species